CUAAUAAUAUCCCACUCUUGUCGUGCCCAAAAUUCUCAACAAGACUAUUUGGAUGCCCAUAAUACAGCUCGUGCAGAUGUAGGCGUAGAACCUUUAACCUGGGACGACGAGGUAGCAGCUUAUGCAGAAAAUUAUGCUUCUCAAUUGGCUGCAGACUGCAACCUCGUACAUUCUCAUGGUCAAUACGGCGAAAACUUAGCUGAGGGAAGUGACGAUUUCAUGACGGCUGCUAAGGCCGUUGAGAUGUGGGUCGAUGAGAAGCAGUAUUAUGACCAU
rnacentral:lncRNA from 1 species